GACGAACGCUGGCGGCGUGCUUAACACAUGCAAGUCGAACGGAAAGGCCCUGCUUUUGUGGGGUGCUCGAGUGGCGAACGGGUGAGUAACACGUGAGUAACCUGCCCUUGACUUUGGGAUAACUUCAGGAAACUGGGGCUAAUACCGGAUAGGAGCUCCUGCUGCAUGGUGGGGGUUGGAAAGUUUCGGAGGUUGGGGAUGGACUCGCGGCUUAUCAGCUUGUUGGUGGGGUAGUGGCUUACCAAGGCUUUGACGGGUAGCCGGCCUGAGAGGGUGACCGGCCACAUUGGGACUGAGAUACGGCCCAGACUCCUACGGGAGGCAGCAGUGGGGAAUAUUGCACAAUGGGCGGAAGCCUGAUGCAGCAACGCCGCGUGCGGGAUGACGGCCUUCGGGUUGUAAACCGCUUUCGCCUGUGACGAAGCGUGAGUGACGGUAAUGGGUAAAGAAGCACCGGCUAACUACGUG
rnacentral:rRNA from 1 species